rnacentral:tRNA from 13 species
GAUUUAACUUAUUUGGUAAAGUUUUUGUUUUGUAAGCAAAAAAAAGUGAUUCGAUU